GACGAACGCUGGCGGCGUGCAUAAUACAUGCAAGUCGACCUUAGUGGCGAACGGGUGAGUAACACGUGGGUAACCUGCCCAUCAGAAGGGGAUAACACUUGGCAACAGGUGCUAAUACAGUAUCCUGAUGGAUGGACCCGCGGUGCAUUCGCUCGUUGUUGAGGAAACGGCUAACCAAGGCCACGAUUCCUAGCCGACCUGAGAGGGGUAGCGGCCAAAUUGGGACUGAGACACGGCCCAAACUCCUACGGGAGGCAGCAGUAGGGAAUCUUCGGAAAUGGACGAAAGUCUGACCGAGCAACGCCGCGGGAGGGAAGAAGGUUUUCGGAUCGUAAAACUCUGUUGUUAGAGAAGCGGUAUCUAACCAGAAAGCCACGGCUAACUACGUGCCAGCAGCCGCGGUAAUAC
rnacentral:rRNA from 1 species